rnacentral:rRNA from 1 species
GAUGAACGCUAGCGGCAGGCUUAACACAUGCAAGUCGAGGGGUAACAGGAGUGCUUGCACUCGCUGACGACCGGCGCACGGGUGAGUAACGCGUAGAAAUCUGCCAAGUAGUGGGGGACAACCAUUGGAAACGAUGGCUAAUACCGCAUACGCCCGACGGGGGAAAGGAGGGGCUCUUCGGACCUUUCGCUAUUUGAUGAGUCUGCGUGAGAUUAGCUAGUUGGUGAGGUAAAGGCUCACCAAGGCGACGAUCUCUAGCUGGUCUGAGAGGAUGAUCAGCCACACUGGAACUGAGACACGGUCCAGACUCCUACGGGAGGCAGCAGUGGGGAAUAUUGCACAAUGGGCGCAAGCCUGAUGCAGCCAUGCCGCGUGUGUGAAGAAGGCCCUAGGGUUGUAAAGCACUUUCAGCAGUGAGGAAAGUUUAGUAGUUAAUACCUGCUAGAUGUGACGUUAGCAACAGAAGAAGCACCGGCUAACUCCGUGCCAGCAGCCGCGGUAAUACGGAGGGUGCGAGCGUUAAUCGGAAUUACUGGGCGUAAAGCGCACGCAGGCGGCUCUUUAAGUCGGAUGUGAAAGCCCCGGGCUCAACCUGGGAACUGCACCUGAUACUGCUGAACUCGAGUACGGUAGAGGGUAGUGGAAUUUCCUGUGUAGCGGUGAAAUGCGUAGAUAUAGGAAGGAACACCAGUGGCGAAGGCGACUACCUGGACCGAUACUGACACUGAGGUGCGAAAGCAUGGGGAGCAAACAGGAUUAGAUACCCUGGUAGUCCACGCCGUAAACGAUGUCUACUAGCCGUUGGGGGACUUGAUCCUUUAGUGGCGCAGCUAACGCGAUAAGUAGACCGCCUGGGGAGUACGGCCGCAAGGUUA